rnacentral:rRNA from 1 species
CAUAAUCUCUGAGGAGAAAAGCAGGGGAUCGCAAGACCUUGCGCUUUUGGAGCGGCCGAUGUCUGAUUAGCUAGUUGGUGAGGUAAAGGCUUACCAAGGCUUCGAUCAGUAGCUGGUCUGAGAGGACGACCAGCCACACUGGGACUGAGACACGGCCCAGACUCCUACGGGAGGCAGCAGUGGGGAAUUUUGGACAAUGGGGGAAACCCUGAUCCAGCCAUGCCGCGUGAGUGAAGAAGGCCUUCGGGUUGUAAAGCUCUUUCAGCCGGAACGAAAAGGUUACGGUUAAUACCCGUGACUAAUGACGGUACCGGAAGAAGAAG